rnacentral:rRNA from 1 species
GGCAGUGGGGGGCAUCUUACCAUGCAGUCGACGCUGAAGCUUGGGUGCUUGCAUCUGGGUGGAUGAGUGGCGAACGGGUGAGUAAUACGUGAGUAACCUGCCCUUGACUCUGGGAUAAGCCUGGGAAACUGGGUCUAAUACUGGAUACUACAUUCUCUCGCAUGGGGGUGUGUGGAAAGGGUUUUACUGGUUUUGGAUGGGCUCACGGCCUAUCAGCUUGUUGGUGGGGUAAUGGCCUACCAAGGCGACGACGGGUAGCCGGCCUGAGAGGGUGACCGGCCACACUGGGACUGAGACACGGCCCAGACUCCUACGGGAGGCAGCAGUGGGGAAUAUUGCACAAUGGGCGAAAGCCUGAUGCAGCGACGCCGCGUGAGGGAUGACGGCCUUCGGGUUGUAAACCUCUUUCAGCACGGAAGAAGCGAAAGUGACGGUACGUGCAGAAGAAGCGCCGGCUAACUACGUGCCAGCAGCCGCGGUAAUACGUAGGGCGCAAGCGUUGUCCGGAAUUAUUGGGCGUAAAGAGCUCGUAGGCGGUUUGUCGCGUCUGCUGUGAAAGCCCGGGGCUUAACCCCGUGGUGUGCAGUGGGUACGGGCAGACUAGAGUGCAGUAGGGGAGACUGGAAUUCCUGGUGUAGCGGUGAAAUGCGCAGAUAUCAGGAGGAACACCGAUGGCGAAGGCAGGUCUCUGGGCUGUUACUGACGCUGAGGAGCGAAAGCAUGGGGAGCGAACAGGAUUAGAUACCCUGGUAGUCCAUGCCGUAAACGUUGGGCACUAGGUGUGGGGGACAUUCCACGUU